GACAUGAUCAGAGAUGCCAUAUUCUGACUUUUCCCUGGACUCCAAUCAUGGAAACUACAGUUACAGCUCAGCCUGUUUUGCUUAUGGAACUGUGCCAGAAGCAGUUUUGAAGGUGUUUUAAAAAUGAAGACAUCUGGCAGCUGGCAUACUUACA
rnacentral:lncRNA from 1 species